rnacentral:rRNA from 1 species
CCUACGGGCGGCAGCAGUGAGGAAUAUUGGUCAAUGGGCGCGAGCCUGAACCAGCCAAGUAGCGUGAAGGAUGACUGCCCUACGGGUUGUAAACUUCUUUUAUAAAGGAAUAAAGUGAGGCACGUGUGCCUUUUUGUAUGUACUUUAUGAAUAAUGAUCGGCUAACUCCGUGCCAGCAGCCGCGUUAAUACGGAGGAGCCGAGCGUUAUCCGGAUUUAUUGGGUUUAAAGGGGGCGUAGAUGGGUUGUUAAGUCAGGUGUGAAAGUUUGCGGCUCAACCGUAAAAUUGCAAUUGAUACUGGGAGUCUUGAGUACAGUUGAGGUAAGCGGAAUUCGUGGUGUAGCGGUGAAAUGCUUAGAUAUCAAGAAGAACUCCGAUUGCGAAGGCAGCUUACUAAACUGCCACUGACAUUGAUGCUCGAAAGUGUGGGUAUCAAACAGGAUUAGAUACCCCUGUAGUC